UACAGCGACCUUCAGUGCUGCCAGAAGAAAAGUAUUUGGCACAUCGUUGUAAAAGUAGGACGCACAGCAGAAAAACUUAGCCAACUUCAUCUCUGCCCCAUUCCCAGCCCUACAGAACAUCCAGUGUGCAGGCGCCUUGAGCGCAGAGAAAAACCCUGCAGUCAGAGGUGCUCAGGCAGCAAUAGAGUCAACACUAGCCCAUGGAGAAGAACGAGACCCUCUGCCCAGCUGUUAGAUGUCACUCCACUGGUGUGGAGUCAGGCCCGCUGAGACCGGCUUUCAUCCCAUCGAGCUGCUCCGUGGUGGGGCCUUUGGUAGGUGAUGGGGACAUUCGUGACGUUGGGCCCUCGCUGGCUUCCCUGUGCUUGUAGACUGUGCCUCCUUCACCUGGCCCCCUUUGAAUGAUGGAUGCUCCCCCCAUGGCCCCGGAUCUAGGAACUAGGGGGGAAGGGGGCCUGAAGGUUUGCUUGAAGCGGAGCAGAUGGUGCUCUUGGCUCAAUGGAGGUGGCCGAAGGACAUGACCUUCCUCCCGGCCUUUCUUUUGGGAAAGGAAGUCUUUGGAAGUUUGUGGCAACUGAAUAAAUCUUGUCACUUUGAUAAGCAGUGUCCCGUUCAGCUCCCUGUGUGGAGAAAGCUCCACACUUCCUCUGAUUGUUCCAGUUUAUUGAAUUUCAGUGUGUGAGACAUGAUAACCUCAUUCCUGGGGAGUUCAGAGAGGAAGUGGAGGGGCCGGCCUGGCGUAUACCCGGCAGCGCAUGAGGAGCGGUGCAGGCUGGGUUAUUCUUGGAAGUUAUUUUGAUCUGCUGGGCCCCGAUCAGCUCAUGUUUCUGUGCCCAGCCUCAGGGCCACGUAAUGGGAGGAUGAGGUGUUUCAUUAUAAUAAUAG